UACGUAGGGGGCUAGCGUUGUCCGGAAUCAUUGGGCGUAAAGCGCGCGUAGGCGGCCAGAUAAGUCCGGUGUGAAAGUCACAGGCUCAACCUGUGAAUGCCGCUGGAAACUGUCUGGCUAGAGUCCGGAAGGGGCGAGUGGAAUUCCUGGUGUAGCGGUGAAAUGCGCAGAUAUCAGGAGGAACACCGGUGGCGAAGGCGGAUCUCUGGGCCAUUACUGACGCUGAGGAGCGAAAGCGUGGGGAGCGAACAGG
rnacentral:rRNA from 1 species